rnacentral:rRNA from 1 species
AACAGGAUUAGAUACCCUGGUAGUCCACGCCGUAAACGAUGAGUGCUAGGUGUUGGGGGGCUACGCCCCUCAGUGCCGAAGGUAACCCAUUAAGCACUCCGCCUGGGGAGUACGGCCGCAAGGCUGAAACUCAAAGGAAUUGACGGGGGCCCGCACAAGCGGUGGAGCAUGUGGUUUAAUUCGAAGCAACGCGAAGAACCUUACCAGGGCUUGACAUCCCGCUGACCCCUCCAGAGAUGGAGGUUUCCUUCGGGACAGCGGUGACAGGUGGUGCAUGGUUGUCGUCAGCUCGUGUCGUGAGAUGUUGGGUUCAGUCCCGCAACGAGCGCAACCCUUGUCGUUAGUUGCCAGCAUUUCGGAUGGGCACUCUAACGAGACAGCCGGUGAAAGCCGGAGGAAGGUGGGGAUGACGUCAAAUCAUCAUGCCCCUUAUGUCCUGGGCUACACACGUGCUACAAUGGCUGGUACAAAGGGCAGCGAACCCGCGAGGGGGAGCCAAUCCCAAAAAGCCAGUCUCAGUUCGGAUCGCAGGCUGCAACUCGCCUGCGUGAAGCCGGAAUCGCUAGUAAUCGCGGAUCAGCAUGCCGCGGUGAAUAUGUUCCCGGGCCUUGUACACACCGCCCGCCACACCACGAGAGUUUGCAACACCCGAAGUCGGUGAGGCAACCUUUUAGGAGCCAGCCGCCGAAGGUGGGGCAGAUGAUUGGGGUGAAGUCGUAACAAGGUAACC